rnacentral:rRNA from 1 species
AGAGUUUGAUCCUGGCUCAGGAUGAACGCUGGCGGCGUGCCUAACACAUGCAAGUCGAACGAAGCGCUUAGACAGAUUUCUUCGGAUUGAAGUUUAAGUGACUGAGUGGCGGACGGGUGAGUAACGCGUGGGUAACCUGCCUCAUACAGGGGGAUAACAGUUAGAAAUGGCUGCUAAUACCGCAUAAGACCACAGGAUCGCAUGAUCCGGUGGGAAAAACUCCGGUGGUAUGAGAUGGACCCGCGUCUGAUUAGCUAGUUGGUGGGGUAACGGCCUACCAAGGCGACGAUCAGUAGCCGACCUGAGAGGGUGACCGGCCACAUUGGGACUGAGACACGGCCCAAACUCCUACGGGAGGCAGCAGUGGGGAAUAUUGCACAAUGGGGGAAACCCUGAUGCAGCGACGCCGCGUGAGCGAAGAAGUAUUUCGGUAUGUAAAGCUCUAUCAGCAGGGAAGAAAAUGACGGUACCUGACUAAGAAGCACCGGCUAAAUACGUGCCAGCAGCCGCGGUAAUACGUAUGGUGCAAGCGUUAUCCGGAUUUACUGGGCGUAAAGGGAGCGUAGACGGCUGUGUAAGUCUGGAGUGAAAACCCGGGGCUCAACCCCCGGGACUGCUUUGGAAACUAUGCAGCUAGAGUGUCGGAGAAGGCAAGUGGAAUUCCCCAGUGUAGCCGGUGAAAUGGGUUGAUAUUAGGAGGAACACCAGUGGCGAAGGCGACUUGCUGGGCCGUAACUGACGCUGAGGCGCGAAAAGCGUGGGGGAGCAAAACAGGAUUAGAUACCCUGGUAGUCCACGCCGUAAACGAUGAGUACUAGGUGUUGGGGGUUUCGAUACCUUCGGUGCCGCAGUUAACACAAUAAGUACUCCGCCUGGGGAGUACGGUCGCAAGACUGAAACUCAAAGGAAUUGACGGGGGCCCGCACAAGCGGUGGAGCAUGUGGUUUAAUUCGACGCAACGCGAAGAACCUUACCAAGACUUGACAUCCUUCUGACCGAGGACUAAUCACCUCUUUCCCUCCGGGGACAGAAGUGACAGGUGGUGCAUGGUUGUCGUCAGCUCGUGUCGUGAGAUGUUGGGUUAAGUCCCGCAACGAGCGCAACCCUUGUCUUUAGUUGCCAUCAUUUAGUUGGGCACUCUAGGAGACUGCCAGUGAUAAACUGGAGGAAGGUGGGGAUGACGUCAAGUCAUCAUGGCCCUUACGACCAGGGCUACACACGUGCUACAAUGGCGCAUACAAAGAGAAGCGACCUCGCGAGAGCAAGCGGACCUCAUAAAGUGCGUCGUAGUCCGGAUUGGAGUCUGCAACUCGACUCCAUGAAGUCGGAAUCGCUAGUAAUCGUGGAUCAGAAUGCCACGGUGAAUACGUUCCCGGGCCUUGCACACACCGCCCGUCA